UACGUAGGGGGCUAGCGUUGUCCGGAAUCAUUGGGCGUAAAGAGCGUGUAGGCGGCUCGGUAAGUCUGCUGUGAAAGUCCAGGGCUCAACCCUGGAAUGCCGGUGGAAACUGUCGAGCUAGAGUCCGGAAGAGGCGAGUGGAAUUCCUGGUGUAGCGGUGAAAUGCGCAGAUAUCAGGAGGAACACCAAUGGCGAAGGCAGCUCGCUGGGACGGUACUGACGCUGAGACGCGAAAGCGUGGGGAGCAAACAGG
rnacentral:rRNA from 1 species